UCCAUCUCUGACCCACUUUUCAUUUAACUCUGGCCUC
rnacentral:rRNA from 1 species